rnacentral:rRNA from 1 species
UACGUAGGGCGCAAGCGUUGUCCGGAAUUAUUGGGCGUAAAGAGCUCGUAGGCGGUCUGUCGCGUCGGAUGUGAAAGCCCGGGGCUUAACCCCGGGUCUGCAUUCGAUACGGGCAGACUAGAGUGUGGUAGGGGAGAUCGGAAUUCCUGGUGUAGCGGUGAAAUGCGUAGAUAUCAGGAGGAACACCGAUGGCGAAGGCAGGUCUCUGGGCAUUAACUGACGCUGAGGAGCGAAAGCAUGGGGAGCGAACAGG